GCAGCACAGUAAGAGCUUGCUCUUACGGGUGGCGAGUGGCGGACGGGUGAGGAAUACAUCGGAAUCUACUCUUUCGUGGGGGAUAACGUAGGGAAGCUUACGCUAAUACCGCAUACGCCCUUCGGGGGAAAGCAGGGGAUCGCAAGACCUUGCGCGAUUGAAUGAGCCGAUGUCGGAUUAGCUAGUUGGCGGGGUAACGGCCCACCAAGGCGACGAUCCGUAGCUGGUCUGAGAGGAUGAUCAGCCACACUGGAACUGAGACACGGUCCAGAGUCCUACGGGAGGCAGCAGUGGGGAAUAUUGGACAAUGGGCGCAAGCCUGAUCCAGCCAUACCGCGUGGGUGAAGAAGGCCUUCGGGUUGUAAAGCCCUUUUGUUGGGAAAGAAAAGCAUCCGGUUAAUACCCGGGUGUUCUGACGGUACCCAAAGAAUAAGCACCGGCUAACUUCGUGCCAGCAGCCGCGGUAAUACGAAGGGUGCAAGCGUUACUCGGAAUUACUGGGCGUAAAGCGUGCGUAGGUGGUGAUUUAAGUCCGUUGUGAAAGCCCUGGGCUCAACCUGGGAAUUGCAGUGGAUACUGGGUCACUAGAGUGUGGUAGAGGAUAGUGG
rnacentral:rRNA from 1 species